rnacentral:piRNA from 1 species
UAGGUCCUCAUAGGAGUUGCCUCCGAGGCUU